UUAUUUGAGAGUUUGAUCCUAGCUCAGGAUGAACGCUGGCGGCGUGUUUAAGGCAUGCAAGUCGAACGGUCAAUUUUUUCGCAAGAUUAGAUUGACAGUGGCAAACGGGUGAGUAACACAUUGGUAACCUGCCUCGAAGACGUGAAUAACCCCGCGAAAGCGGGGCUAAUACACGAUAAUAAUGAGUGGCAUAAGUCAUUCAUUUAAAGUUCAGGCGCUUCGAGAGGGGCCUAUGGCUUAUCAGCUAGUUGGUGAGGUAAUAGCUCACCAAGGCUAUGACGAGUAGCGGGUGUGAGAGCAUGACCCGCCUCACUGGGACUGAGACACUGCCCAGACUCCUACGGGAGGCUGCAGUCAAGAAUCUUCCACAAUGCCCGCAAGGGUGAUGGAGCGACGCCGCGUGACCGAUGAAGCCCUUCGGGGUGUAAAGGUCUUUUACCAGGGACGAACAAAUGACGGUACCUGGCGAAUAAGAGGUUGCUAACUCUGUGCCAGCAGCAGCGGUAAUACAGAGACCUCAAGCGUUAUCCGGAUUCAUUGGGCGUAAAGCGUGCGCAGGCGGCUUUUUAAGUUAGCGGUUAAAGCUCGAAGCUCAACUUCGAUUUCGCCGCUAAAACUAGAAAGCUAGAGAAUGGGAGAGGCAAGCGGAAUUGCCGGUGUAGGGGUAAAAUCCGUUGAUAUCGGCAAGAACACCAAAUGCAAAGGCAGCUUGCUAGAACAUUUCUGACGCUGUUGCACGAAAGCGUGGGGAGCAAAGAGGAUUAGAUACCCUCGUAGUCCACGCUGUAAACGAUGGAUACUAGGCAUUGGGAGUAUCGACCCUUCCAGUGUCGCUAUAACUAAGCUAACGCGUUAAGUAUCCCGCCUGGGAAGUACGGUCGCAAGACUAAAACUCAAAGGAAUUGACGGGGACCCGCACAAGCGGUGGAUCAUGCGGUUUAAUUCGAUAACAAGCGAGGAACCUCACCAAGGCUUGACAUCCUCAGAAUCCCGGGUAAUGCUGGGAGUGCCGCAAGGAACUGAGAGACAGGUGCUGCAUGGUUGUCGUCAGCUCGUGUCGUGAGAUGUACGGUUAAGUCCGGUAACGAGCGCAACCCUCGUUCUAUGUUAAUUUUUCAUAGAAGACUGCCAGCUUUAAGCUGGAGGAAGGUGGGGAUGACGUCAAAUCAGCAUGGCCCUUAUGCCUUGGGCUACACGCAUGAUACAAUGGCCAGUACAAUGGGACGCAAAGUCGUAAGACGAAGCAAAUCCCAUCAAAACUGGUCUCAGUUCGGAUUGAGGUCUGCAACCCGACCUCAUGAAGUUGGAAUCGCUAGUAAACGCGUAUCAGCCACGGCGCGUUGAAUACGUUCUCGGGUCUUGUACACACCGCCCGUCACACCAAGGGAGCCGGUAGUACCCGAAUAUCGCUGUAGGGCGGUAGAAGGUAAGGCCGGUGACAGGGGUGAAGUCGUAACAAGGCAUCCGUAGCGGAAGCUGCGGAUGGACCAUCUCCUUU
rnacentral:rRNA from 1 species